UUUGGAAGCGAAUAUCUUAGGCUACGAUCCACGAAAAGAAACUAGACACAAUAAGGAGUCUGUGGAAGAAAAUUUAAGGUAAUUCAGGUAUCGGAAGAUCAUGAACAGAGGUCUCGAACGUCGACAACGAGGAUAUAUGAAAGAAAAGCUCAAAGAACCAUGAGUUAACGCCCUAAAUCGAUCAAAAUGCUCGGGAAUUAGGCAACGUUAAAAUAACCGACUAGAUGAACUCUGCUCUAAUAGCCAAAAUAUAUAUAUAUAUAUAUAUAUAUAUAAAUAAUG